rnacentral:rRNA from 1 species
UACGUAGGGUGCAAGCGUUAAUCGGAAUUACUGGGCGUAAAGCGUGCGCAGGCGGUUGUGCAAGACCGAUGUGAAAUCCCCGGGCUCAACCUGGGAAUGGCAUUGGUGACUGCACGGCUAGAGUGUGUCAGAGGGGGGGUAGAAUUCCACGUGUAGCAGUGAAAUGCGUAGAGAUGUGGAGGAAUACCGAUGGCGAAGGCAGCCCCCCUGGGAUAACACUGACGCUCAUGCACGAAAGCGUGGGGGAGCAAACAGG